rnacentral:tmRNA from 1 species
GGGGGCGUACGCUUCGAUCAGUUACCCCUUUCAAAAAUUGCAGGCUCGUGUGUCGGCACGAUAAAAACCGAAAAUAAAUAAGAGUAAACUUAUUUGAGCGGGUCAAAGUUGCUUUUAGCAACCUAACUCCUGCACCUGUUUACGCCUAAACCCGUAAACCAUCGCUUUGUGUGACACCUGAUAGCACGAUAGCGGUGACACACCACACCAUCAGGUUCGCGUAUAUCCCCUCUCCAGGAUAUACGUUCAAAAACGGAGAUUGGGCUUAUGGUAUUUUGACCAUUUUUAGUCAUACGCCUGAAAAUAUAAAUGGUCUAUGCAUGUAGACAUUUUUGGAAGAUAAUUGAGACGGGAGUUCAAUCUCCCCGCCUCCACAC